CUAACAAUGAACUUUAAGUUAAAUACUAAAAUGUAUAUCAUGUUAAAUAAUUGAGCAUUUUUUUUUAUUUUGUAAAUAAAUUAUAUGUUGUUGUACAUUAUACGGUGCCAUAGAACAGGAGUUGGAUUUUAAAAAUGUCACGUACACUAGUGCUAACACAUUAAUUGGAGCUUAUUUAUUAGUAAGGGGAACGGUACAAAUAACAUAGCAUGGGCUUAAGAUUUUGGUUAGUUAUCACUUAUCGCAUAAUAAACGUCAAGAAUAUUAAAAAUAUCAUGGUCGAUCAACACACGUUAGAUUGGUGGGAGUUUGGGACGAAAUAAAUGCAUCACGCGCAAUGCGCAUGCGUAAGUACUAAGUUGUGAAGCAAUAAAUGUCACAGGCAAUAGACUGGAUUGAGAGGUAAACUGUAUUUGACAGCCAUUAAGUAUCAUACAAGAUCGUUGGACACGUGCUUAAUGUACAUUUUCAAAUAAAAAUAUUAUGAUAAAUUGCUUUUCCUGUGCA